AACAUAACCCUUUAGAAUGGAAAGUGAAACAACUUUGAACACAGCUUGAAAACAGAAAAAGGUAUUGAUGGUCUAUUUUUCUCCUUUAUGAAUUUACAUAACAUUUUUUUUAACACUUAAUGCUAGCUUUAACUGAUUUGAGUUGACAUUUUUAUUGAUGAAUUUGGCGAGAAAAGCCAGUCUAAAUUAUCUAAUUUAACAGAUUAAUGUAGGAAGUAAAACAAUUUCCCUUCCCCUCUCCACAUCUCAUGUUGGUCCCAGUUUUAUUUUUUGUUUAUUAAAUUAGAACACUUAUUUUAUUUUAGUUCAUUUUAGAUCUUUCUUCUGUAGUGUCACUCACAUGUUGUCUUCUCCAUAGAGACCACUGUCAGAACCUCCAUCUUCCUGGGAUUGGGACCUAGAGGAAAUGGUGUCCUAAAAGAGAAAGAAAAGUACGGUCACCACCACGAUGAUCACUGUUAAUGCUAUGAAUAACGACCAACUAUCCCCUUCAGAAUCA